CAAUUAAAAUGAUUUGUUUUUAUUAACCAUUAUUAUGAAAAACAGUUAAAAUAUUUUUUUGUUAUUUAACAUUAUUAUGAAAAACAGUAAGUCUGGACCCUUGAUUAAAAUUUCAAUUCUGUUCUAGUCAGUUUUUUAAUGCUAGGAUCUAAUUUUGAUUUUUUUGUGUAAAACUCAGCAAUAACAGUUGACUUUUUUUGUUAGAAGACUUUAUUUCCUGUAGCUAGUGCCUUAUGUUUGUUUUAAACUCAACUAUGUUACAAUGUUAAGGCAACUUCAGAUGUAUGCUUUACAUUUGAUAUGGCGGCAAUGUCUUUUUUUUUUAAAAUUAACAGAUUCUCUUUCAUGUAUACUUAUCUUUGGUCUGUGUGUGUGUGUGUGAUUAAUUCAGCUCAGUAAAUGCAGGUCUGAUUGUUGCAUGAAUUAUAAUGUGUAUGAUUAAUUCAGCUCAGUAAGUGCAGGUCUGAUUGUUGCAUGAAUUAUGAUUUUUUUUUAACUGUAUGCCCAUUGUUUAUCAUUUUAUUCAACUGGUGACCCUCAGGUCAUAAUUACUCUGUAUGACGCAGGCCUGUUAAGUCAACUAUGUAUGAACUUUUGAACUUCAUUCGGAAUUGAAACCAAAUGUCUUUUGAUAACUAUUUGAUUUCUAUGCUACUUGAUGUAAAUACAAACUUGUAGACUUGAAAAUCAUG
rnacentral:sRNA from 1 species